GACGAACGCUGGCGGCGUGCCUAAUACAUGCAAGUUGAGCGAUGAAGAUUGGUGCUUGCACCAAUUUGAAGAGCAGCGAACGGGUGAGUAACGCGUGGGGAAUCUGCCUUUGAGCGGGGGACAACAUUUGGAAACGAAUGCUAAUACCGCAUAACAACUUUAAACAUAAGUUUUAAGUUUGAAAGAUGCAAUUGCAUCACUCAAAGAUGAUCCCGCGUUGUAUUAGCUAGUUGGUGAGGUAAAGGCUCACCAAGGCGAUGAUACAUAGCCGACCUGAGAGGGUGAUCGGCCACAUUGGGACUGAGACACGGCCCAAACUCCUACGGGAGGCAGCAGUAGGGAAUCUUCGGAAAUGGACUAAAGUCUGACCGAGCAACGCCGCGUGAGUGAAGAAGGUUUUCGGAUCGUAAAACUCUGUUGGUAGAGAAGAACGUUGGUGAGAGUGGAAAGCUCAUCAAGUGACGGUAACUACCCAGAAAGGGACGGCUAACUACGUG
rnacentral:rRNA from 1 species